AUUGAACGCUGGCGGCAGGCCUAACACAUGCAAGUCGAACGGUAACAGAAAGCAGCUUGCUGCUUUGCUGACGAGUGGCGGACGGGUGAGUAAUGUCUGGGAAACUGCCCGAUGGAGGGGGAUAACUACUGGAAACGGUAGCUAAUACCGCAUAACGUCGCAAGACCAAAGAGGGGGACCUUCGGGCCUCUUGCCAUCGGAUGUGCCCAGAUGGGAUUAGCUAGUAGGUGGGGUAACGGCUCACCUAGGCGACGAUCCCUAGCUGGUCUGAGAGGAUGACCAGCCACACUGGAACUGAGACACGGUCCAGACUCCUACGGGAGGCAGCAGUGGGGAAUAUUGCACAAUGGGCGCAAGCCUGAUGCAGCCAUGCCGCGUGUAUGAAGAAGGCCUUCGGGUUGUAAAGUACUUUCAGCGGGGAGGAAGGGAGUAAAGUUAAUACCUUUGCUCAUUG
rnacentral:rRNA from 1 species